UUCAUUUACCAUGCUACGCUUUAAUCCACAAUGUUUUUUAUUUUGCAGGGAUAAAAGGGAUAAUUCAAAAGAUAUAUCAAGGUCUAAUUUAAAUAAACCAUCCUCUAAUAAGCAAUUAUUAACAACAAUAUUAUUGAAACAAAGGUUUACAAAGGAUGGUCCAAAUGAAACAGUGUACCUAAAAGAAACAAGUUUGAAAAUAGAUAUUAGGUUUCUAGAAAAUCCAGGUACAUAAAAGGUAGUUUCUAGGUAUAAACUGUAGCCAGUCUUUUAAGAUCAAUUUGAACGUUACAACAGUUUCCACAUGUGAACGCAUCUUGUUUUCUAUAAUGAUGCUUUGUUUACUUUCUGUUGGAAUUCUUUUGUUCAACAAUCCCUUCAAAGUUUUACAUAUAUGGAUAGUAGCACCAAAGUCAAUCCACCAUGUGUUUUGAGGUAUAUCAACAAAAUUUGAUUCAUAACAUACUAAGAAAAGAAAGUAUAUUUCUUUUCGAGCCAUUUCUUGUACUUGGUGCAGUCCUUUUUCAAAUGUCCCUGUCUCCUACAGAAGAAGCACUUUAUUUGCCUUUUGUCAGUCACUUUGGUUGACACUUUUAUUUUUUUCUUCUUAAUAGGAAUAUGAUGACUGGAACCACCAACCUCCUUAUGUCCUUUUUCCUUAUGAGAGAUCUUUUUUUAUUUUUACUAUCAUCUGUCUUUGAUGUUGUUGGUGGGGGGCGCUCUGCAUGGUUGCAACUGCUGUCCUUGAGAGGGAUUUCCUGUUUGAGACUGAUCUGGGGUUUUCUACAUGGAUAUCUAGUGGUCCUUGCAAGGUUAUAAGGGAAGAUAAUGUAUUUUCGCUCUUCUGGCAGCAGUAUAUUUUAUUCUUCUGUAUGGCAUGAUAGUGGUAAUUUCUAAGUUCUCAUAUUCUUGUUCAUGUCCAAAAUGCAGAGAUUAUGGAUGAUGGUGGUUCCUGUUGGUUUCCUGCCACCUCUCUAUUUUGUGGUAGUCAAGGUUGUGGUGUACUAUAUCUUUUCAAGCAGCCUUAUGAGUGGGAUUUCUCUGAUGGACCUGGUUAUUUUUGUUUGAAUCAAUUCCUAUUUCACUUGUGAGAUCUCUUCCUGUGGUAAUGUCUGGGAUGGAUAGAGGACGUGGAGCUAAAAAAACUAUGUACGCAAAAUCAUCUGGGUUUUCUACUCAAUUAUAUACUGAUUACAAAUAAUUGGUGCUAUAUUUUUCUCUAGGGGCUUUUGAGAUGAAUAGUGGGAAUCAGAGUAGACAUCUUUUCAAGAAUUGAUUGGCUCUAUUUGUUUUUGUCUCUGUUCAAACUUGUCGACAAGAGUUUCCCAAAAUGGAUGAAACUAAUUGUUGCUGUUUCUUCUCAAUUUAUUUUUUUUUGCUGCAUGAUGUUAGAGCUUUUGUGCAGGGUUGUUUCAUAUUAUUUUUUUUUUGCCAGUAUUUUCAUUAGAUAGUAAGUUUAUUGUCCUUUACUAUAUCAUAUUUCUACUACUAUUGUGUUUACCUGUCUUUUGUUGUUCGGGUAUUCAAACAUAUUCCUUUUCUGUGUGAAGUUGCAACAGAUAUUCUUGAGGUAUUUACUUUGAUGUGUUCACGCUAUUCAGAGUUUGAUUAUUCCUAUGCUAGUGGUUGAUCUUUUAAAUUAAUCUUUUUCUUGAACCUUUUCUUUUGGUUAUUUUGAUCUGUCAUGAGCAUGGAGUUCCUAUCACUGUGUCAUAUACCAAAUUAUUUGAUUCUAUAUGUUGGAGCAGCAAUUGCCAUCUAAUUGCUCUUGUGGGGCAAUCAGGCUCCUUUAGAAGGGAUCACAUUGAAUUCGGAAUUAGAGGCUACAUGUUGCAUUUUUGUAUCUGGAAUAGUUAGAGUUUUCAUAAUUUGUUAAAGAACUAUUUGGUUUUGUUUGAGAACCUUCUAUUUGAAUUGCAAAAUGCAUGUAGUAAAACUAGUUUA